rnacentral:rRNA from 1 species
GGGACACGUGGUAUCCUGUCUGAAUAUGGGGGGACCAUCCUCCAAGGCUAAAUACUCCUGACUGACCGAUAGUGAACCAGUACCGUGAGGGAAAGGCGAAAAGAACCCCGGCGAGGGGAGUGAAAAAGAACCUGAAACCGUGUACGUACAAGCAGUGGGAGCACCUUCGGGUGUGACUGCGUACCUUUUGUAUAAUGGGUCAGCGACUUAUAUUCUGUAGCAAGGUUAACCGUAUAGGGGAGCCGCAGGGAAACCGAGUCUUAACUGGGCGUUAAGUUGCAGGGUAUAGACCCGAAACCCGGUGAUCUAGCCAUGGGCAGGUUGAAGGUUGGGUAACACUAACUGGAGGACCGAACCGACUAAUGUUGAAAAAUUAGCGGAUGACUUGUGGCUGGGGGUGAAAGGCCAAUCAAACCGGGAGAUAGCUGGUUCUCCCCGAAAGCUAUUUAGGUAGCGCCUCGUGAACUCAUCUUCGGGGGUAGAGCACUGUUUCGGCUAGGGGGUCAUCCCGACUUACCAACCCGAUGCAAACUACGAAUACCGAAGAAUGUUAUCACGGGAGACACACGGCGGGUGCUAACGUCCGUCGUGAAGAGGGAAACAACCCAGACCGCCAGCUAAGGUCCCAAAGUCAUGGUUAAGUGGGAAACGAUGUGGGAAGGCACAGACAGCCAGGAUGUUGGCUUAGAAGCAGCCAUCAUUUAAAGAAAGCGUAAUAGCUCACUGGUCGAGUCGGCCUGCGCGGAAGAUGUAACGGGGCUAAACCAUGCACCGAAGCUGCGGCAGCGACACUAUGUGUUGUUGGGUAGGGGAGCGUUCUGUAAGCCUGCGAAGGUGUGCUGUGAGGCAUGCUGGAGGUAUCAGAAGUGCGAAUGCUGACAUAAGUAACGAUAAAGCGGGUGAAAAGCCCGCUCGCCGGAAGACCAAGGGUUCCUGUCCAACGUUAAUCGGGGCAGGGUGAGUCGACCCCUAAGGCGAGGCCGAAAGGCGUAGUCGAUGGGAAACAGGUUAAUAUUCCUGUACUUGGUGUUACUGCGAAGGGGGGACGGAGAAGGCUAUGUUAGCCGGGCGACGGUUGUCCCGGUUUAAGCAUGUAGGCUGAUUGUCCAGGCAAAUCCGGAUAAUCAAGGCUGAGGUGUGAUGACGAGGCACUACGGUGCUGAAGUAACAAAUGCCCUGCUUCCAGGAAAAGCCUCUAAGCAUCAGGUAACAUUAAAUCGUACCCCAAACCGACACAGGUGGUCAGGUAGAGAAUACCAAGGCGCUUGAGAGAACUCGGGUGAAGGAACUAGGCAAAAUGGUGCCGUAACUUCGGGAGAAGGCACGCUGGUGUGUAGGUGAAGUCCCUGCGGAUGGAGCUGAGACCAGUCGAAGAUACCAGCUGGCUGCAACUGUUUAUUAAAAACACAGCACUGUGCAAACACGAAAGUGGACGUAUACGGUGUGACGCCUGCCCGGUGCCGGAAGGUUAAUUGAUGGGGUUAUCCGUAAGGAGAAGCUCUUGAUCGAAGCCCCGGUAAACGGCGGCCGUAACUAUAACGGUCCUAAGGUAGCGAAAUUCCUUGUCGGGUAAGUUCCGACCUGCACGAAUGGCGUAAUGAUGGCCAGGCUGUCUCCACCCGAGACUCAGUGAAAUUGAACUCGCUGUGAAGAUGCAGUGUACCCGCGGCAAGACGGAAAGACCCCGUGAACCUUUACUAUAGCUUGACACUGAACAUUGAGCCUUGAUGUGUAGGAUAGGUGGGAGGCUUUGAAGCGUGGACGCCAGUCUGCGUGGAGCCAACCUUGAAAUACCACCCUUUAAUGUUUGAUGUUCUAACGUUGGCCCCUGACCGGGGUUGCGGACAGUGUCUGGUGGGUAGUUUGACUGGGGCGGUCUCCUCCCAAAGCGUAACGGAGGAGCACGAAGGUUAGCUAAUCCUGGUCGGACAUCAGGAGGUUAGUGCAAUGGCAUAAGCUAGCUUGACUGCGAGCGUGACGGCGCGAGCAGGUGCGAAAGCAGGUCAUAGUGAUCCGGUGGUUCUGAAUGGAAGGGCCAUCGCUCAACGGAUAAAAGGUACUCCGGGGAUAACAGGCUGAUACCGCCCAAGAGUUCAUAUCGACGGCGGUGUUUGGCACCUCGAUGUCGGCUCAUCACAUCCUGGGGCUGAAGUAGGUCCCAAGGGUAUGGCUGUUCGCCAUUUAAAGUGGUACGCGAGCUGGGUUUAGAACGUCGUGAGACAGUUCGGUCCCUAUCUGCCGUGGGCGCUGGAGAAUUGAGGGGGGCUGCUCCUAGUACGAGAGGACCGGAGUGGACGCAUCACUGGUGUUCGGGUUGUCAUGCCAAUGGCACUGCCCGGUAGCUAAAUGCGGAAGAGAUAAGUGCUGAAAGCAUCUAAGCACGAAACUUGCCCCGAGAUGAGUUCUCCCUGAGACUUUAAGUCUCCUGAAGGAACGUUAAAGACGAUGACGUUGAUAGGCCGGGUGUGUAAGCGCAGCGAUGCGUUGAGCUAACCGGUACUAAUGAACCGUGAGGCUUAACCUU